rnacentral:misc_RNA from 1 species
GAAUAUUCUUGAUGGGUUGUAGCUGGCUCUUCGGGGCAUGUGCACGCUUGUCUUGACUCUAUUCAUCCACCUGUGCACCUUUUGUAGUCUUGGGGGUUGAGAUCAGUCGACUAUCGGAGGGCUAUAUAGCCUUUCCGGAUGUGAGGAAUGCUGAGUGCGAAAGCAUACAGCUCUUCUCUAAUGACUUGUAAAACCUCUCCCUCGAGUACUAUGUAUUCAUAUACCACAUAGUAUGUUGUAGAAUGUGAUCAAUGGGUCUAUGUACCUAUAAUAAUCAUAUACAACUUUUAGCAACGGAUCUCUUGGCUCU